rnacentral:lncRNA from 1 species
GGAUCACUUUCUAACAAAGUUGACCUAAGGCUUUAAGAAGCCAAAGAAAAAACUCAACUCCAAAGGAAGCAAGUUGUGUGGAGAAAGGAGAGGCAACUCUUUUCAUACCUAUUAACAAAAGAAACAAAAAUGUGUUAGAAUGCGUAAUAGAAUAAAAAAGAUAAAAAAAAUAAAACCUAAUGCUAGAAUCAAAGGAAAUAAACUACCCAACCGAAAACCCGAAACAAUGGAAAACAACUUAAAUUUUUUUCGUUCAAGGUGCUCCCGAUUUCCAAAAAUCACAAAACUUAAA